CGUGUCAGAGGCGGGGCUGUGAGGGAGCCGAAGGACGGUUGCGCAGUUCGCGUGCCUACUGUGCCCGUUGCCCCCCCUCUUUCUCGGACCCACCCCUCUUGUUCCCCUAAUCCUUCAUCUUAGCCUGGCCACAACUGACCAAGGCCCAGUUGGACUGUGUCUUUGCCAACACCAUCGCUGUCGUCCCCGCGUGACAUCCCAGCUCUGAGUCGGGUCCUAGAAACCUGCUCUAGCUCUGCUCUCUGCCAGAUGAUCGUUUUGCUGUCUGAAUAAUUCUAAACCCCCUGUUUGAAUGUUUAGUUUCCACAUUUGAACAGGCCGAGAGCAAUGAUUUAGGGAUGGGGCGUCCUGGACCAUCUUGCAUCUCGUUGAGAACCAAGUCUCCAGUGGUUGGGGGUGUAUCUAUGGGCUGCGCCUCAGGCCAGGGUAGCCCUGGAAUACUCGACUUAAAUACUGGCCUAGGGGAAAAGGGCAACUGGGGAAGUUAGAUCUCUUCUUAGGCUCGCAGCCCAGCAAUUUUUUCUUUGAUCCCUGCAAAUGUUCCAGAGAUUCGGGUUGGGGAUUUAUUUCAUAAACUGGAAACAUUUAUUUCUUAACCAACAGGAUUAUUGUGGGGGGGCUUGAGGUGAACCCCCUGGGUUCGGGGAAGGGUGCCCUUUGCAAGAAUGUAAGACUGAAACUUAGCUUAAAAAGAGAAAUUUAUUAAUUUAGAAGGUAAUGUUGAAUCUGACCAGGAGUACAACAACCCCUCCCUCCCCUAAGCACAUCAAGUCUGGGCUCUUUAUAUUCUUUUCAACAGUUGAUACCUGAGUAAGCACUCAGGCACAGCAAAGGAAAGUGAGGUGGCCCAGUGAAGAGAGACAGUGAUCAAAACAGAUGGAAAGUGUGGAAGAUAGAGCCACUGCUCCUGAAGAAAAAGCUAGGGGUGGACUGCUACACCAAUGUUACCACACCACUUCCAGUGGAGCUCAAGCUACUGCCACUGAGGACUGCACAGUACCAGUUAACCUCCAACAGAGAGAUUACCCAAAGGCUCUUGAUGUCUUGGACUUGCAAGGCUGACAUCAAAACUGGGAAUGUCCAGAUCAGGAUUGCCCACCUAUAUUCAAGGAAAGCUACAAAGCAAAAACAAAAAGUCUGAACAAGGGCUUCUGGAAUUCCUACACUUAUCAGUUAUAUUGGGCAUAGUUUCCUAUAAUCCUGUUUAGAGUCUGAGUUACAUUUGGGUCCAGAACAGAUAAUAGGAGUCCAACCACCAUUAUUCAUGGGGUCACUAUUCAUUUUCCCCAUCACUCUCUGAUAUUAAACCUUACACCAGCUUAAUUUUGAGACAUGUCACUCCAAGCCACCAUCGAUGAAUACUUAGUAAAAUCACCUACUAAUGGUUCCUUUUAUACCAUGUUUGUGUUAGAGGUGGCAGGGUGUUGAUAUCUAGCAUACCUAUUAUUGUAUUUUUUUAAAUCAAUGUAUAAAGACCAAGGUCAAAGUGGAAUUAUAGCAAACCCCAAUCUUAAACCUAUAUUCCCUCUAUCUGAUAGUAGUAGAUGAUGGAACCCCUGUGUGUGGGAAAAAUCACUUUGCUUUUAAUAUAUACUGUUUUACUGAAUUCCCCCUCCAACUCCCUAUUCAGUUGCAAACCAAAUACACCAAAUCUGAUGGAAUUGCAUUCUCUUUUGUUGGUUGAAUUAAAAAAACACAAAAAACCUGAUUCAACCACCUUUAUCCUGCUUAAGUUAAAUAUACUAUUCCUGCUACACACAGCAGUCUUUAUCUGUCUUAGACCCACAAUUGUUGUAUCCACCACACAACUAAGUACUUUCCAGACAAGGUCAGUUUGUAUCCCAUGGGUACAUUUAAAUGCUGCAGAUAUUGCUGAUUAUGUACUUGAAGUAGGCCUAAAACAAGCUACAUAAGCUAUAUGUAUACCCUAGGAAGCUGAAGCUGCUAACAACAAAUGAGCAUUCCCAGCCUGCUAAUUUUUUCCUUUCAGUUUCAUUACUUUCUUUAUUUCCCUGGACCUACUAGUAGAUGAGAUUGUCCCUGAACUGAAGGUGAUAAAUUCUCAAACAUCUACAAAUAUGUCUUCAAACAGGGGUGUGAUAAGAGAAUUUCUGACAACUUUCUUAAUGCUAUUUUCUUAAGAUGAGCAGUCACUUGUUAGAGUUUGCAAAAUCAAACUUGAGAUAUCAACUAUAGGUCUGGUCAAUUGCCUGUUUUACUUGUUAUGCAUCUGCCAUCUGUUUCUUUUAUCUAUAAAUCAUUAUCAUCUCUUAUUUGUCCUUUGAAAUUCCAUUAUACCCAUCUUGCUUAUGUAACUAAAGUCUACAAAUAUAGUUUAGAACUGAUAUUCAGGGCUCACUAAGUUUUUGUUCAAUGAAGUCUGCACUCUGAGAAUAAUAAAAGUUUUCCCUCUA